rnacentral:rRNA from 1 species
UACGUAGGGGGCAAGCGUUGUCCGGAAUCAUUGGGCGUAAAGAGCUCGUAGGCGGUCUGUCGCGUCGCUGUGAAAACCCGGGGCUCAACCCCGGGCCUGCAGCCGAUACGGGCAGACUAGAGUUCGGCAGGGGAGACUGGAAUUCCUGGUGUAGCGGUGAAAUGCGCAGAUAUCAGGAGGAACACCGGUGGCGAAGGCGGGUCUCUGGGCCGAAAUUGACGCUGAGGAGCGAAAGCGUGGGGAGCAAACAGG